AUGCGCAGUGCCCACGGGCCUUCCCGGCAGCUGCUGUGUGCCAGGGAGGGAAAGGGAGGUGGUACCCGGUCUGACCCUCCCUGGGAUGGGCGCCGCUGUGGGUGCUCGAGCAGACAACAGGGUCUGCACAGAGCAGGAGAGGUCACCUGGGUGGGGAGACUCCUGUGGCUUCUGGUGGCUUUUGGUGGCCGUGCGGCUUGGGCUGGGCUGACCAGUGGGCUCACGGAGUCCAGCCGCCACAACCUCGGGCCUGGAGCCUGCCUCUGUUUCAACAGGGCUAAGGGUGGUUUGCACUCAUGGAAACGGGUCAUGCUGCCCAGGCUGGAGUCACCUCCCAAGCUCUCCACGAAGCAGGUCACCGAGCCAGGCAACUGUCCUAAUUUGAGCUCUGAAAUUUCUUGUAGACCUCUCCCUUUUGCCGGGAAUUCAGAGGACUUGGUCCAACAUCUGGGCAGGAAGGCGGCUGACCCACUUCCAUGCAUCGGAUCGUCAGGCAACAAGAGAUAUGGUGGCGGGGUGUGGGGUGACUGCAUGGGCGCACUCGGAGAUGCUCAGGCUUUCCAUCUGCAGAAUGGGCUCUUGCUGGCGGCCUUCCCUUCACAAAAGGGCAGCUUAACCCCCAACAAUGAAGUAAGCACACAAGCUGUGAAGAAGGCCAGCCCUUGGAUUCGGAUGAGUUCAGUUGGGAGGACGCUGGCCAAUUUUCUCAUGCUCCCUCAGCAUGCGGACAGGGAGACGUGGGUGACAGUGACAGUGAGCGUGUGCAUGUCCCAGGGCGGCUGUAACAAACUGCCUCAAACUGGGAGCUUAACACAGCAAAUGUGCAGCUCCAGAGGCCGGAAGCGUAAAAUCCCAGUGUGGGCAGGCCCCGUUCUCUCAAGGACCCUUGCUUGCUGUCCCGGCUUCUGGUGCCUGCAGCAACCUUCAGCGUCCCUUGGCUUAUGGGCCUGUCACUCCUGCCUCCGCCUCAUCAUCACGUGGCCUCCUCUGGCAGUGUCGAUGUUCCUCUCUUCUAAUACGGACCCCAGCCAAUGGAUUCAGGCCCACCCUAGCCCAUCAGGACCCCAUUUAACCUGA
rnacentral:lncRNA from 1 species